GGUGUGGCGCGGCCGGCCCGCCGCCCUCUGGGUGUGUGAGUGUCGGUUCGCGUCUACCAUCCUUCUAGAGAGCGGCUCUGCCAUUCACUUGGUUGGGGUCGCGAUCUGGAUCUUUUACUUUGAAAAAAUUAGAGUGUUCAAAGCAGGCUUGCGCCACUGAAUACAUUAGCAUGGAAUAAUAAAAUAGGACUUUGGUUCUAUUUUGUUGGUUUCUAGGACUGAAGUA
rnacentral:rRNA from 1 species